rnacentral:rRNA from 1 species
GAUGAACGCUAGCUACAGGCUUAACACAUGCAAGUCGAGGGGAAACGGCAUUGAGUGCUUGCACUCUUUGGACGUCGACCGGCGCACGGGUGAGUAACGCGUAUCCAACCUUCCCAUUACUGUGGGAUAACCUGCCGAAAGGCAGACUAAUACCGCAUAGUCUUCGAUGACGGCAUCAGAUUUGAAGUAAAGAUUUAUCGGUAAUGGAUGGGGAUGCGUCUGAUUAGCUUGUUGGCGGGGUAACGGCCCACCAAGGCGACGAUCAGUAGGGGUUCUGAGAGGAAGGUCCCCCACAUUGGAACUGAGACACGGUCCAAACUCCUACGGGAGGCAGCAGUGAGGAAUAUUGGUCAAUGGACGGAAGUCUGAACCAGCCAAGUAGCGUGCAGGAUGACGGCCCUAUGGGUUGUAAACUGCUUUUGUAUGGGGAUAAAGUUAGGGACGUGUCCCUAUU